rnacentral:rRNA from 1 species
UUUUUGAAAAUAAUUUAAAGUCUAAUCUGCCCACUGAUAUUGUAUUGAAGGGCUGCAGUAUUUUGACUGUACAAAGGUAGCAUAAUCAUUAGUCUCUUAAUUGGUGACUUGUAUGAAGGAUUUGAUGAAAUAUAAACUGUCUCAUUUUAAUUUAUUGAAUUUAAUUUUUUAGUUAAAAAGCUAAAAUUUAAUUAAAAGACGAGAAGACCCUAUAGAGUUUAAUAAUUUAAUUAGUUAUUAUUUUAUAUAAUUUUUUUUUUUAAAAAUUAAUUAAAUUAUUUUGUUGGGGUGAUAGAAAAAUUUAAUUAACUUUUUAUAAAAAUUAACAUUAAUUUAUGAAUAAAUGAUCCGUAAUUUGCGAUUAUAAGAAAAAAUUACCUUAGGGAUAACAGCGUAAUUUUUUUUUUUAGUUCAAAUAAGAAAAAGAGUUUGCGACCUCGAUGUUGGAUUAAGAUAAAAUUUAAAUGCAAAAGUUUAAAAUUUUU